AAUGGUGAUGGUUGGUGUUAAGGUGAUGGUUGUGUUGGUUGGUUUUUAGGUGAGAGAGGGAGUAUAUAGAUGUUGACCAAAAAUUUUGAUUUUUGAAAGGUUGUUGUUUUUAGUGAAAAUUAACUUUGUGAGCCUGUGAGCUUUUUUUUCAUUAUUUACUUGUGAAAAUUAUAUUUAUUUAUACUAGAAUUAUAACAUUAGGUAAAAGUAAAAAAAUAAAAAAAUAUUAAAUUAAAACAAAAUGAAUCAAGAAAUUAUUUGUCAU
rnacentral:lncRNA from 1 species